GCUUCUGUAGCUCAGUUGGUGGUAGCGUCCCUCUCAUACUAUGACAGGGGAAGGUCGUGAGUUCGAGCCUCACCAGAAGCA
rnacentral:tRNA from 1 species